CUCAUUGAAUGACAGUAAAAUUGUAAAUAAAAAAGGCUAACACCAUAUUUUUUUAUUAUUUUGGAUUUAAAGGGGAUGUUUAUGUAGUAACCGAAUUUUCAAAACCAAUUUUACUGUCAAACAAGAGAAUCUACAUUUAAAACAUGUUCGAUUUCCUGACGUUAAAUUGGGGAUUAACAGAAAACAACAAUCUUUUUCACCAGUUUAUUUUUAAAACAAAUAUAAAAACAUCUCGGUUAGUCUUUACAAUACAGGCACUAAGUUUUCCUUUACACUUCUUUCGAACUUCUGGUCUAUUUAAAGCAAGUUUGGGCGCAUCUAAAACUUUGUCGGAAGUUCGAAAUGGUAUAACCUUGAUUGGGGAUAUAUUAAAAACAAACUUUUAAACACCACAAAUCACUCUAUAAAGAAAACACUACAUUGACGUUACUACAUUCUUAUUAAUUUUGUUGUUGUAAUAAAAAUGAAUACAUUUAAAUACUUCAAUGACUAAAACUAAACCAUUAACGCAACAUCGAUGACAGUACGACGCGCAAGACGCGUCAAAAGGAAUUACAAAAAAAAAAAUAGUCGGCAUAUUUGAGACACGUAUAAAAACUCUCGUAUAGAUCGCGUUCUCAGCCAGUCGGAAUUUUAUAAGGGAAUGUUUAAUGCUGCAGGGCCUACUGGGUCGCGUUUAUUGUUAGAAAAAGUCGUAAACAAGUGCUUCUACAGGCCUUUUAUAAAAUGGCCCAAGGAACGAGUUAGUGUCCAUGCAGGCUUUUAAUAGGUCCAGGUAUAUAACCGCGAAAAUUUCGUCGAUUGCGGGCAUUUUUCCCCUCAAUUUAGAAAUAAAUAUCCCCGCAAUUUUUGAAUUUGGGUUUUCAUGGUAGGCCUCCUGUUUAAUAACUAGUCAAUUCAAUUGUAUUGGAAAAUGGGAUAGAUCACGGAUAGAUAGCCAGAUUUUUAUUCACAAAUAUUGCUGUUCAAAUGUAUGUCGUAGUCACGUAAAACGGAAAUAUUACGGAUUAUCUAAACUAAACAAUGUAACAUCAUAAUAUAAUAUUUAUUAUUGCUUCUACGGAAUCCCGAUUAUUACGUUUCACAGAGAUAACAUUAUUACAAUCUACGAUAUUAAUGCCAUAUUACGCUAAUGAUAACGACUGAUAAAAAUGUUAGAACAAAGUCCGUACUAUAAUCGAGUUUCAAAAUCGAAUUUUUAUUUGAAACUAGUCGAGUUGUAUUCCGUCAACCAGUACGGAGCUGUCAGUCUCAAUUGUCAAACGUCAAAGCAAAGUGUUCUUGUUGACUUGUGUUUUGUAAGAAAGAAAGAAUUUAAUUCGAGAGAUAAAUUUUGGUUGCAUAUUUUUAAUGACUGAAAUCGUAUAUACUUAUUAUAAUGUCACGUGGUUAUGAGGAUUUUUUAUGCUAUUUUACAAUUUCUAUUAAAGUGGUGGUGUCCAAAAGGGAUUACAGUGCUUUAUGGAGGUGAUAUUAAGAACAAUAAUGAGUGAGAAUAGUGUGACGGGUAUUUAACGAAACCCGAUGUAAGUGUCGAUCAAGUCUAUUAAGUGCUGUGCACGAUUUCACUAUAAUUUGUAGGUAAACAAAUGUAUGUAAAGUUAGAAGUGUAGAUGUAAAUGUUGUGUCGCAUGUUUUUACAAGUUGCAAUCAUUUUAUUAAUUCUUACUCUGUUUCGAAACAGCGGUUAUCGUUAAAAUCACGGAUAUUGCUUGGCAAUUGAAACAUUAUCAAUAUAAUUUACAGCUGUGUACCACCUAACCUUACUAUUGUUAUCUGCUAUCAUUUCAAACAAUAAUCUGAUUUCUGGCUUUUUAGAUCAUAUUUGAUUUAUUACCAAGCUUAAGAAAGUAAUGUUAUUUAAACACUUAUAUUGCAACUAAUGCCUUAUUUAAAGUUAUUGAGUAAUAUUAGACUUACCUUGUAAAAAAAGAUAACUUAAUAGCAAUUACCACAUAAACUACAAUUUCAACAUGCUUCCAGUGCUACCUUUUUAUGUAAGUUGAGUACCAAAAACCCUGGUCUUUUCGUAGGUAAAACUAGUGGAAGCAUAGUCUAACUACAACACAUUAAAUUUAUUAUAAUGGUAAUUUAGUUAAACAUUUAACCAAAAAUAUUUUGUUAUUGUUCAUGAGUACAGUGUACCUACAGAAAUUCAUUGUUGGUGAUGAAACUUUUAAUUUUUAUUAAUUUUCUCACAACACAAGCCUUUUUGAGCUUACCAUGACUCAAAAUGUGUGUGUGUUUUUUGUAAGAAUAUCCUAUAAUAUUAUUUACUGCAUCUAUUGCUAAAUCUAUACAUAUAUGUAUAAAAUUCUUAUUCUGCCUGUUGAUCUACCUAUGUUACCCUUUUGUAUGUGUCCAGAUAGAGUAGCAUUUUUUUUUCUUGAAAAAAUGGCUAGAGAUUUGGUCAGGAUUCUUAUGAUUCAGAGAAGAGGUUAAAUGGCAUUCUGUACUUAUCUUGUCUCCUGUUUAUCAGGUAAUAUUAAUUUAUGGUAUGGUAUUAACUGGACAUUGGUAAUUGUUAAAAUUUAUCUUAUGUCAUGUGUGUGUUUAUAUGAUGCACACUGAAAUAUUAUUUGGUUUAAAAUAAUGUAGCUUUAUAUUUGAAAAUUGUAUGUUUUAUUAUUAUUUUUCAUCAUUUGUCUAUUUGAGUCAAUAAAAACUGUUAUUUGGUCACAUCCAAUUGUGCAGUCAAGUUCAAAAACAUGUUUACAUGCCAAGAUUCAAAAUGUAUAAACGCACCUCUUAAACAUGGAUAAUAAGAUUGUGUAAAUAUAUUGUUGUAACAUUGGCUUGUAAAAGUGUUUGUGAACUCAACCAUACAAUUAGUAUAAAAGAAAAUCACUAGUUGCUAAGUAACAUAAAAUGUGUAGUAAAGAAAUAAUGCGUUGGAUUAGUGCAAGUUUCAUGCGAGCUUUUGUGAAAGUAUGUUUAUAUUGUCUUAGAAUAAUUUUUAAUUUUAUUUAUUAAUUUUUUUGUGUAAAUAAUUUCGUUAAAAAAAUUGUGUAGCUGGAUCAUGAAUCAGUAUUAAAUUCAUUUUACAUUUACCAGUUUUUAAGAGUAUAGAGGUAUAUUCAUAAAUACGAGAGGCAAUUCAAAACUAUUCAUAUACCAAAACCACACAUUCAGAUUUAUGUACAAAAAGGCGUACGGGAGCCAGCUGUGGUACUGCUGGUACUUCUUUAGCAGAUGUUGUCCAGCAAAGCUCCGGAUAAAUGAUGCGGGAAAGGUGACAGAGAGCAUAGGCCGGCAUAACCAUGACCCCCCAACCUGCUGGAUGACUCCCGAUGGCAAGUCAUACAACUUACCACCGCUGCCCUGCAAGAACAACGACCGAAGAACGCCAUAAGGCUUCUACAGACGUUGCAACAAAUGGUAUGCGAUAUUAAAUGAUUACUGGCUAAGUAGAAGUGCGGCAUCGAGGCUCAGGAAUCUAUUGAAAAUCGCAUGCGAUUAUCGGUAACGUUUGGAGAGGCCUAAAUCUAAUUAAAUCAUGUGAUGAAAACAUUUUUUAUUUGUUUCACUGCCCUGUAAAUAUGAGAACAAAGUUUAUAUUUAAGUAAAUAUAAAUAUGUUGAGAUUCUAUUUGCCCUUAUAUUUUUAUUGUUAUUAUGAAUUGUUUAACAUUUUUAGAUUAAUUAGGCUUUAAGCAUGUCCACAAAUUAUUCAAAGAAUGAGAUAUUUGUUAUUGAUACAUAGAUUAUCUAAAUUGAUAUUUUAUAUGUACAUGUUUUAUUUUAUUUGCCAUAAAAAUGUCUGGUUUGAUUGCCCAGUGAGACUAUUUCUCUAACAAAUGUAAUUUAUAUUUAUGUAAGUUAUUGGUCAACUGGGUUACAUUUGUGGCGUUUUUAAGCAAAAGGUAUCAUUUCUUCUCCUGCUAUUAAUAACUAUUUCUAAUCCUAUGUGAAAGUAGAAAACUGAUACAGUGUUACCUUUUAGCUAACAAAACGAUGUUAAAAUUACCUUCAUGACAAGCAUAUAUUAUUUUAUGAAAAUUAUGACUUACUACCUAAUAUAUACUACCUAAUAUAUACUACCUAAGCUCAAGAGCAAAUAAGGGGCCACUUUGGUUUGAAUUGUUAAUACAAAGUUACCCAUAGUCAUUGCUCGUUGGCAUGAAUAAUUUGAUUAAAUAAAAUAACCUGUUUCUGCUAUGUAUAAUUUAGCUUACCAUCUUUUAAGUUAGAUCCUCACGAUGUUUCGAUAUGUGAGCGCUCGCAGCUCGCACAGCGUCGCGCGGAUUCGCAAUGUAAAGACCGCCUUAUCCUCCCAGGCAAAGCCAUACAAGAAAAAAAAUACAUACGAUGCCAGUGAAAUAUGAACCCAUGGUACAGGACGAAAGGGUUGAUUUUCUUUUGUUUACAAAAUUGAACUAAACAAAACAAAUGCGGCUCUGUUCCUAUUGCCAAAGUUUUCAAUUUCAUCGAACUUCAUAAGUAUUUAGCUACUAUUGUUAGGACCCUGAGCCUUAUGAGGUUAUGUAGGCUGGUGUUAAUUUGCCUGCACUGCAACAAUGGCGUCUGUUCACUAUAACUAGUCCAGUAGCCCUUGCAGAUUCCAAUGACCUAUUAUUUUGUACAAAAAUAGGUAUACAAAGGUGAGCGAUCAAUUAUUGUCAAAAUCGAAAAUAGUGAAGUUAAACGUGUGGUAACGGCACCAAUCAUGAGACAUUUAAGAGUCACACGAAAGCCGCUGCCAUACAUGUCAAAUUUGACAUUAUUUUAGAAUAUAGUUUUAAAAUGAGAACGUAACUUCGAUUGCAUAGCGGCGGGUAGGUUCGUGUGAAUCUUAACCCGUCAUUUCAUGGUUAAUAUGUAGCGCCGCACCGCUUUCGUUUGAUAUAAAUAUUUAGGAAAGAGAUGCAAAUAAAGCCUUUCCAUAACAAAUCAUGCAUUCAUUGAAUUGCGGGCAUAAGGGUACAAAUAUUGACACAUAUCUAAGGACGGGCCAUAAGAAUGGGGCCGGUACAGCGUGCAGCGGUGUCACGCACACGAAUUCGAGCCAAUCGUGCAGUCUAACGCGAUUAGUGAUGAGUUCACAUCACGCGCGCGAUUGGUCGCAACUAAUUACGACAGACUGCACGAUUGGCUCGAAUUCGUGAGUGACACCACUGAACUAGCACCAUUUUUAGUGUCCGUAAAACUCGUCCUUAGAUAUACAAUAGGUAUAAAGUAUUCGAUACAAAUCUUAUGAUUCCAUAAUUGUAGUCCCAUUUAGAUUAUUACAGUUAAAUUAAGGACGCUAAGCAUACUUUUGCCCAUUAUGCCGCAACCACACUGUGUGAGCGGUACAGCAAUAUAUAAAUGCGCGUGCGAUAGAGAUAGAAACAGGCCGGUUAAUGUACUAAAUUUUUCGUGCUUAGCGUCCUUGUUUUAACAUCGUUGUCUGACAGGUCUCAUAUAGAUGCUACAUCAGUAAUGAAGCAGUAUUGUUUAUAUGUAUAAGUCAUUAAACUGGUAGUUUUCUACUUUAUAUAACAUACCUAUGUUUAUAACCAAAGGAGUGCUUUUGUAUCAAGAAAGAGUUAAUGUUCUCCACCUAAACAAAUUGGAAAUGUAAAAAUAAAUUUUCUGUGUAUGCGCGAGUGUUUGUAGCUGCUGCCAAAUUACUUCUAGUUUCUGAUUAAGGGAUAGUUUUUGUACAGUCGCCAUCAGAUAUAUGUGGCUUUCCAUCACAGAAGGGUCCUUAUGCUUCAGGUGCAAUUAGGUCCUUUCUAUUUAAAAUUCCAAUAGAAGUUCUGAUAAAAAGGUCCUUUUUGCACAUGAAUCGUACGGCAAGCAACAUCUGCGCCUGAGGUCAGCAGUUGACCACGACACCGCAAAGAGUACAACGAUAAAGUAGAAGAAUUGCACAUGAAUUAUAAGAACCUUUCGGGCAUCGAACGUCACUUAUUUUAUCGGAGCGUCCAAGGCGCUCACUAAUUCUCUGAACGCGACUCUAUUGCCAAGGCGGUAGUGUGCGCGUUCAGAUAUUUUUGAGCACCUUGGCCGCUCCAAUAAAUCUGAUAGCGACUGUACACGGGCCGAUUUUUUUGCUGCUGGUAAAAUAUGUCUGUUUUGAAGCGGCCCACAUUUGAUUUUACAUCAACUUUUAUAUUAAAACACGCCGACCUAUAAUAUGACAUACACUUUACGAUAGUUCAAAACUGCUAAGGUAGAAAAUCCUUAGAGCAUUUAGACUGGAGACGCCAUAUCUGUAAUUUUCUGUACAAAAUAGUCUGCCGAUUUUUGCGGGGGAGGGGCACGUCAAAUGUAUGGCUAUUUGUACGUUACGUAAAAAAACAGCCACGUCAGAUAUACGUCAGUCUAUACAAAAGUAUGGACAAUUGUGCAAAGUUUUCGGCAGAGGGGUAAGCUCUUAAAGGCGACUCCUGCCUAAAUGCUCUAAGAGAAAAUCAUAGAUAUAAAAACUUUUCAUUAAAAACCAUGUGACAAAUGACAAUGUUUGUCGUUAUCUGCGCAUUUUCGUAAGAUGCAUUAUUUGACAGAUAUAAGUGAUGUUAAAAGUCUAGCAUUUGUUAAGACUCGAGUUCCUCAAAUAUGCAUUAUACAUAUAUUUGUAUAUAUUAAGAGCAAAUGAAUACUAAUUUAAGUUUUAGUUUAUUACAUGCAAUACUGUAUAUAUCCUGUAAAGUUGCUAUAGGUUUAGUUGGAACAGAACUAAGGCUAUGCCUUUCCACUUUGGCGGAGAUGAGAGGAGUGCAGCAAUCAACCAAUAGCAUAAGCUUUAGGUUAUCCAGCGGAGCGGAGAAGACAUGUAGAUUACAAAGCAAUGCCAUUUGGAUUAUUUUCCAUAUUUGCGCCUGCGUCUAAACUCCGUCAAACCAUACUAAAUGUAGGAAAACUUUGAUGGAGUUGAGAAUGACUGUUGGUACCUAAGUACCGCACUUCUCUACCACCGCCUCAGUGGGAAGGCAGCGUGAAGUUUGAAAUACAAUCGUCAUGGAAAUCAACUUGUAUAACGAAACGAAAAUCAUUAUAAUGUACAUUGCGUACAUUAAGUUUACAACUUGUUACUUAAUAGGUAGUUUAUUUUUGAAAUAAUCCAAAAUCUUGCGUAGAUAGUUAACAAAUUUAUAACGUGCCUCUAGUAGGUAGAAUUUAGGAAAAUAAAUAUUGUAUCGUGCCUUCUAAAUUGUUUAUAUGUAUGUAUACCAAAUAUAAAACUAAACUGUGA